AACUUUUCGCAAUGGAUCACUUGGUUCUGGCAUCGAUGAAGAACGCAGCGAAAUGCGAUAAGUAAUGUGAAUUGCAGAAUUCAGUGACUCAUCGAAUCUUUGAACGCACAUUGCGCCCGCUGGUAUUCCGGCGGGCAUGCCUGUUCGAGCGUCAUUAUGACCAAUCAAGCUCUGCUUGGCCUUGGGGCCCGCUGUACCGGCGGCCCUUAAAACUAGUGGCGGUGCCGUCUGGCUCUAAGCGUAGUAAUACUUCUCGCUAUAGUGUCUAGGCGUCCACCCGCCAGAACCUCCAACUUUCUUAGGUUGACCUCGGAUCAGGUAGGGAUACCCGCUGAACUUAAGCAUAUCAAUAAGCGGAGGCU
rnacentral:misc_RNA from 1 species